GGACUAGUUGCCUGAGAGAAGGUACCUGAAGUGGAAUAGAGCUAGGGAAGGGCAAAGGGAGCUGGGGAGCUCUAGCCUGGUAAACCCCUAGGCUACAGGCCUUAUUAAGGGCCCAAAAGUGAUGCUAAUGCAGAGUUCUAUGCAUAAAUCACUGUAUGCAUUGAUGGGAGAUGAGAUCCUGAUGCCUACUUGCUGUCUUUACCCACUGAAAUGAGGGCCUGAUUUUCCCUCUUGUUUAGACCAGCAUUACAUCCAGGUAAUUCUGUUUACCUUCGUGGGGUUACUCCUUAUUUGCAUUGGCAUAAUUCAGAGGAGAACCAGGCCCAUUGUGCAAGAAUGGGGGACUUUUCACAGUGCUGCCAUGAUCACAAUCAUUCUCCAGACUAGCUUUUAGACCCCUACUGAAGUGACUUGUUUCCUUUUGGGGGGCAGGCAGCAGUUUGUUUGUUUGUUUUGUUUUGUUUUGGUUGAUUGGUUGGUUUUGGUUUUGUUUUUUUUACAG